CCUACGGGUGGCAGCAGUGAGGAAUAUUUGUCAAUGGGCGCGAGCCUGAACCAGCCAAGUAGCGUGAAGGAUGACUGCCCUACGGGUUGUAAACUUCUUUUUUAAAGGAAUAAAGUGAGGCACGUGUGCCUUUUUGGCAGUAAUUUAUGAAUAAGGAUCGGCUAACUCCGUGCCAGCAGCCGCGGUAAUACGGAGGAUCCGAGCGUUAUCCGUAUUUGUUGGGUUUAAAGGGAGCGUAGAUGGGUUGUUAAGUCAGUUGUGAAAGUUUGCGGCUCAACCGUAAAAUUGCAAUUGAUACUGGCAGCCUUGAGUACAGUUGAGGUAGGCGGAAUUCGUGGUGUAGCGGUGAAAUGCUUAGAUAUCACGAAGAACUCCGAUUGCGAAGGCAGCUUACUAAACUGCCACUGACAUUGAUGCUCGAAAGUGUGGGUAUCAAACAGGAUUAGAUACCCCGGUAGUC
rnacentral:rRNA from 1 species